CGGUACGUACUGGCAUUGUUGGUUUCUCCCUUCUGACGAACCAUGAUGUCAUUUAUUUGGUGUUGUGGGGAAUCAGGACUGUUACUUUGAAAAAAUUAGAGUGUUUAAAGCAGGCUUUCGCUUGAAUACAUUAGCAUGGAAUAAUGAAAUAGGACGUUUGAUCCUAUUUUGUUGGUUUCUAGGAUUGACGUAAUGAUUAAUAGGGAUAGUUGGGGGCAUUAGUAUUCAAUUGUCAGAGGUGAAAUUCUUGGAUUUAUUGAACACUAACUACUGCGAAAGCAUUUGCCAAGGAUGUUUUCAUUAAUCAAGAACGAAAGUUAGGGGAUCGAACACGAUCAGAUACCGUCGUAGUCUUAACCAUAAACUAUGCCGACUAGGGAUCGGAUGAUGUUAAUUUUUUAAUGACUCAUUCGGCGCCUUACG
rnacentral:rRNA from 1 species